UGGGGAAUAUUGGACAAUGGGCGCAAGCCUGAUCCAGCCAUGCCGCUUGAGUGAUGAAGGCCCUAGGGUUGUAAAGCUCUUUCACCGGUGAAGAUAAUGACGGUAACCGGAGAAGAAGCCCCGGCUAACUUCGUGCCAGCAGCCGCGGUAAUACGAAGGGGGCUAGCGUUGUUCGGAUUUACUGGGCGUAAAGCGCACGUAGGCGGACUAUUAAGUCAGGGUUGAAAUCCCGGGGCUCAACCCCGGAAAUGCCUUUGAUACUGGUAGUCUUGGGUACGAGAGAGGUGAGUGGAAUUCAGAGUGUAGGGGUGAAAUUUGUAGAUAUUCGGAGAAAAAACAGUGGCGAAGGCGGCUAACUGGCUCGAUACUGACGCUGAGGUGCGAAAGCGUGGGGAGCAAACAGG
rnacentral:rRNA from 1 species